AUCAUUUCUUGCUAGGGUUCGUUCCUUCUUUUCUCAUUCCAUCUCAUACUACCAACAAAAUGCUCUCUCAGACUCAAGAACUAAAACAAUGAAAUGCCUGCAUCUUUUCUUCGAAUCACACUGGUACGCCGUUGCCUUCCAAGCUUGUUGUCUCAUUCUCGACUCAAAUCGGUGCUAAUUUGCUUCGGACAUCCGCUCCUUCUCCUCUAGCGCCAUCAGCUCCUCCAGAAUCCCUCAUACACCAACCAUCUUAAUCUGCGAAUGUUCAUUCUCAUCCUCACCGAUCUGUAAAUCCUCUGCACCAUCACCGCUCUCACUACCUCUAACAACCCACCAUCGAAACUCUAACCCUAUAUCGACUCGAUCUAACCGCGACACUCACCGACACUUUCAUCUCCGCUACUCUCAUCAAAAUUAGCGAAAAUCCUACACUUACAUUGACUGUUGAUGGAGGAGUUGUUAAGGUGAAUGAAGUCAAAAGUAGAGGUGGGUGGGAGGUCAAACUUUGGGCGUGAACGUGACAAUUUUCGAAGAUAUAGUAAUGACAGAGAUGUAGAGGUGGAUAAGGGUAGAGAUAGAGAUAGAAACUAUGGUCGUUUCAGAAAGAGGUUUAUCGAAUGGAAGAGCUUGUAGGAGAGAAAGGUGAUCAUGUAUCUAAGCUGCAGGAAAAGUCACAGUUGAUGAAGCUCUUGCAACCGAUGUUAGUCAAACACCCCAAGAAAGUCCAAAAACGAGGGAACUUUUCAAUGAAGAUUUCGAGUCCGAGAGUGAGGAGCAAGUGUUAGAGAGAAGAUGAAUAUGAGUCGGAUGAGGCUCAAAUAAUGGAAGUAUGUGGAGAAUAUUAAAAGAAAAAUGUUGUACUUGCUAAACUUAUUAUUAAAUUUUUAUAGACUUGUUGGAUGA